rnacentral:tRNA from 1 species
UGGCCUAGUAUGGAUAGGGCAUCGGCCUCCUAAGCCGAGGGUCGUGGGUUCAAAUCCC